CUGCGNGUGAAGCGGCAAAAGCUCAAAUUUGAAAUCUGACGUCUGAUCGGGCGUUCCGAGUUGUAAUUUGGAGGAGCGGCUUCGGGAGCGGCACCGUCUCAAGUUCCGUGGAACCGGACGUCACAGAGGGUGAGAAUCCCGUGUCUGGACGGGCUAGCCUGUUCCCAUGCGAAGUGCUUCCGACGAGUCGAGUUGUUUGGGAAUGCAGCUCAAAAUGGGUGGUAAAUUUCAUCUAAAGCUAAAUAUUGGCGAGAGACCGAUAGCGCACAAGUAGAGUGAUCGAAAGAUGAAAAGCACUUUGAAAAGAGAGUUAAAAAGUACGUGAAAUUGUUGAAAGGGAAGCGCUUGAGAUCAAAACUCGGUCUUUGGUGAAGCGUGCGAUUUAGCUCGUAGCCUCUCCCUUUGACCGGGCCAGCAUCGGUUUUGAUGGCGGGAGAAACGGUAGAGGAAUGUGGCUCUCUUUGGAGAGUGUUAUAGCCAAUACCACAUACCGCCAGUCGAGACCGAGGACCCCCCGCGCUACGGCUAGGAUGCUGGCGUAAUGGUCUUCAGCGACCCG
rnacentral:rRNA from 1 species